rnacentral:rRNA from 1 species
GAGGUUAAGCGACUAAGCGUACACGGUGGAUGCCCUGGCAGUCAGAGGCGAUGAAGGACGUGCUAAUCUGCGAUAAGCGCCGGUAAGGUGAUAUGAACCGUUAUAACCGGCGAUUUCCGAAUGGGGAAACCCAGUGUGACUCGUCACACUAUCAUUAACUGAAUCCAUAGGUUAAUGAGGCGAACCGGGGGAACUGAAACAUCUAAGUACCCCGAGGAAAAGAAAUCAACCGAGAUUCCCCCAGUAGCGGCGAGCGAACGGGGAGGAGCCCAGAGCCUGAAUCAGCAUGUGUGUUAGUGGAAGCGUCUGGAAAGGCGCGCGAUACAGGGUGACAGCCCCGUACACAAAAGCGCAUGUGCUGUGAGCUCGAUGAGUAGGGCGGGACACGUGGUAUCCUGUCUGAAUAUGGGGGGACCAUCCUCCAAGGCUAAAUACUCCUGACUGACCGAUAGUGAACCAGUACCGUGAGGGAAAGGCGAAAAGAACCCCGGCGAGGGGAGUGAAAAAGAACCUGAAACCGUGUACGUACAAGCAGUGGGAGCACCCUUUGGGGUGUGACUGCGUACCUUUUGUAUAAUGGGUCAGCGACUUAUAUUCUGUAGCAAGGUUAACCGAAUAGGGGAGCCGGAGGGAAACCGAGUCUUAAUUGGGCGUUAAGUUGCAGGGUAUAGACCCGAAACCCGGUGAUCUAGCCAUGGGCAGGUUGAAGGUUGGGUAACACUAACUGGAGGAC